rnacentral:rRNA from 1 species
UGCAGAGGGGGCAAGCGUUGUUCGGAAUCACUGGGCGUAAAGGGCGCGUAGGCGGCCUUCUAAGUCAGACGUGAAAUCCCCGGGCUCAACCCGGGAACUGCGUCUGAGACUGGAAGGCUCGAAUCCGGGAGAGGGAUGCGGAAUUCCAGGUGUAGCGGUGAAAUGCGUAGAUAUCUGGAGGAACACCGGUGGCGAAGGCGGCAUCCUGGACCGGCAUUGACGCUGAGGCGCGAAAGCCAGGGGAGCAAACGGG